UCGGACGUGGUGUAAGGUUACACGGCCUUUUCACUUGGGGGGUGCACAUCAAAUAUCUCAUCUGAGGCAGUUCCGGGUUCGACUCCCGGCGUCCGAG